AAUACGUGCAAGGUGUACAUCGCAGAAGUGGAUUUUAAGAGAAGAAAACAAGAUUUUAUAAUUAUAAUAAACCGAAGUGAUUUUGGGCUAUGUGAUAAAGUGUGUGAAAGGAGAGGACUCUUUUUCUGGACACAAUGACUGAGGAGCUCUUCUGUAAAGUUGUCUCUAUUGUAAUUAAGUGCAAGGAUUGUGAAGACAGAAGGGCUGGUGUACGGCUUACUGUUGAAACACAUUCUUCCUCAAACCCUAUACAUAAAAAGGAUUUAGUUGUUAGACUGUCUGAUGAUACGGAUCCAUUUUUUCUGUAUAAUCUCACUCUAGGGGAGGAAGACUUUCAAAGGUAAAUUCCAAUAUAUCUUAAAAUAAUUGCAUUUUCUUGUGAUAGCUCGCAAUCCAUACUUAAAUAAAUCUGUUUAACAGCAGCUGUGCCACAAUUGUGUGGUCCUUUAACACUGCAGAUGCCUAAUUUGCUAAUUUUAUUUUAUUAGCAUUGUCAAGACCUGUAUUAAAAUGUAAUCCAUUAACAUGCUUGCUUUGCAGACCAUUAC